rnacentral:rRNA from 1 species
UACGUAGGGUGCAAGCGUUAAUCGGAAUUACUGGGCGUAAAGGGCGCGUAGGCGGCCUGUUAAGUCGGAACGUGAAAUCCCCGGGCUCAACCCGGGAAUUGCGUCCGAUACUGGCAGGCUUGGAAUCCGGGAGAGGGAUGCGGAAUUCCAGGUGUAGCGGUGAAAUGCGUAGAUAUCUGGAGAACACCGGUGGCGAAGGCGGCAUCCUGGACCGACAUUGACACGUAAA